UACGAAGGGGGGCUAGCGUUGUUCGGAUUUACUGGGCGUAAAGCGCACGUAGGCGGAUCGUUAAGUCGGGGGGUGAAAUCCUGGAGCUCAACUCCAGAACUGCCUUCGAUACUGGCGAUCUCGAGUCCGGAAGAGGUGAGUGGAACUCCUAGUGUAGAGGUGGAAUUCGUAGAUAUUAGGAAGAACACCAGUGGCGAAGGCGACUCACUGGUCCGGUACUGACGCUGAGGUGCGAAAGCGUGGGGAG
rnacentral:rRNA from 1 species